ensembl:lncRNA
AGAACACUAUUAUUUUUAUUAAAUACAAGGUACCAGUGAAAAGAUGUGAUAACAGCCUCUUGGUUUCAGAACACUGUACAACAUUCACAACAAUUUGCCAUAAAAGCAUGCAUGACCAAUACUAAUCAUGUAGGUUUUACAGAUAAGCGUUCAUUCACAAAACAGUAACAUAACCACAAGUCACCUGCAUGACAUCGAUAAAGUGCAAAACUGUACAUUCAUUUGAAAAAAAGAAAAACAGUGCAGAGAGCUAUGCAUGGCACUUUUUACAGUGUGGAGCAUUUUGAUUGUCUCUUAUCUUAGGCUUUUAAAUAUCUUCUAGGUGACCACUUCAUUAGUAAAUGCAUCUUAGUUAUAGCUUGUGGAGCCCUUUGAAAAAGUUAUGACUACAGGACUGCAAAUUAGUUGGGGGAUGUGGAAUGGUUUGUUGGAGGAGGGCAGGUGAUUGACCACCUUCAGAUGUGAAAAGGUCCAAAAAGGUUAGUGAAUUUAUUUAUUUAUUUACAGAGGGUACACCCCUACAGCUCCCCCAAGGCAACGGUCCAUUAUAAUCCCACCACCCUGCCCUAUCAAACUGCCGGAAAAGGCUCUAGGCUGCUUUACAGCCUAACUUCACUGCUUAAAGUGAACUAGUCCACCAUAACACUUUGUACCUCUGCCUAUUGUGUUACAGGGUUUUACUGUUUAGCAUCCAGACUAGCACUGACAGCCAAGAAUAAUAACUUUGAUUCUUUUGAGAAUGAAAGGAACAAAGGUCACCAGCGCUACUGAGAACAAUGUACAUGAGCUAAGUUGGUAACAGGAGGUUAGGAGGCUGAGGCCUUUUAAAAGUUAGUUUAUUCACGAGGAACGUUUUCUUUGUCCACACUCUUAUACCUGGACAUAUGUGGAGUUGUGUUUCUGUGAAAAAGAAAGAAAAACAUCAGUACAUACAGGGUUAAGGGUGGGGCUAUACUGGUUGUCAGGCUGCCAAAAAAGAUUAGUGAGGUGUGCUAAGCUUUGCAGUGCAGUGACUUACAUAUCUUUGGCAGGUUUCCCAUGGAGCUUUCGCGAACAUGGAGACAUCAUGCUGUCCGUUGGGCUCCUAAUGUCAGUCCUGUAUAGAGAGACCACACAACGCAAGCUAACACAUGUGGGGCAGCUUUAAUUGUCUACAUACAACACACAAUUGUUUCAAAGAAAAUCUGUAUGUUUGUAUUUUAUUUAUGUAUUUUGUAUUCUGCCUAUGACAUUAUUAUAAAUGUUGCACUUACGUUUCUUGUAUCUUCUUUCUCCUGGCCAGACUUGGAGUAGGUGGCUGUUGGUUAGGAUGAAUGGUGUGCAACUCCACUUUUCUUGCAUUUCUUGUAUCCAUGUUUUGUCUUUCUGCAGUUAAUUGUAUUUUUUUUAACAAAACCUUAGCCUUUGCCUCACAGAGUACUAUGUGUCAUGAAACACACAUGACAAUGUGUCUUGAAAUGCUUGCUUAUAUUUAUAAUUGAGUGUCAAGUAUAUUUACAUUGCAGUUGCAGUUACAUUGCAUUUACAAUAAUUAAAAAAUAUCUGGCCAGGGUUUGUGCCGGCUAAGAAAAUUGUCUAACAGAUGGUCAUGCCAGAGCUUGCCCCCCAAAAAACGAAAACCGCACAGUAAUGACAAUAUGUAGGACUAAACACACAUCCGACAUAAAGUCAAGCACUACUAGAUUAGCAAGCCUACCUUCGGUUGCCGUCUCACUUUAUCAGGUUUGAAGCUCCUUGUUCCAGCACUGCACAUAUCAGCUGUUUUGACUCAUAUUCGAAGGUAGCGCUGUGUGACGUAUUUCAAAUAGGAGCAUGCGAUUGGUUGUUGUUAGGCAAAACAAGUCACGUGUUUAGACGCCAAAUAUCAACUUGUUUUUCUCGUCGGCUGGCUGAGAAAAAUGUGACAUUUUCGCAUUUUAAAAGUAAACCAGCUCAUGUAAUUUUCCACGAAACUGUUGCCAUGCAGAAUAAAGAGUACCCUAAUGUUCAAAGCUGACAAUACGAUCAAGUCGAAAAUACAACACUGAAAUAACUGUAUUUAAGCAGUUGACGA